rnacentral:lncRNA from 1 species
GGCCUCCUUCUCCAACCUUGAUGCUAAUCUUCUAGAGCCAAUAUCUCUCUUUUUCAUCAUUUGAUUGAUUUCAAAAUUCACAUAUACAUAGAAAAACAAGUCUAAUAUCUUUUCACAUAAAUUUCACUCUAAUCCAACUAGCAAAUUGUAAGAAAUCUUAAAAAUCCUUACUAAAUCUAAAAUUCUACUUUCUGAGACCUUAACCCACUUAAACCUCAAUAAUCCUCAAUUCAAUAGUUAGAUUGAGCUCAAAUUUAUAACACAUAUAGAAUACAAAUAUAACCAUUAAUCUACAAAAUUUCACCUAUAGAUCUAUUACAAAACACUUGAUAUCAUCCAAAAUAUA